rnacentral:rRNA from 1 species
GGCGUGCCUAAUACAUGCAAGUCGAGCGGACAGAAGGGAGCUUGCUCCCGGAUGUUAGCGGCGGACGGGUGAGUAACACGUGGGUAACCUGCCUGUAAGACUGGGAUAACUCCGGGAAACCGGAGCUAAUACCGGAUAGUUCCUUGAACCGCAUGGUUCAAGGAUGAAAGACGGUUUCGGCUGUCACUUACAGAUGGACCCGCGGCGCAUUAGCUAGUUGGUGGGGUAAUGGCUCACCAAGGCGACGAUGCGUAGCCGACCUGAGAGGGUGAUCGGCCACACUGGGACUGAGACACGGCCCAGACUCCUACGGGAGGCAGCAGUAGGGAAUCUUCCGCAAUGGACGAAAGUCUGACGGAGCAACGCCGCGUGAGUGAUGAAGGUUUUCGGAUCGUAAAGCUCUGUUGUUAGGGAAGAACAAGUGCGAGAGWACUGCUCGCACCUKACGGWCCWACCAGAAAGCCR